GAAAGCGUAAUAGCUCACUGGUCUAGUGAUUUUGCGCGGAAAAUAUAACGGGGCUAAAGUAAGUACCGAAGCUGUAGACUUGCGCACAACUUAGAUUAUUUAAGUUUAGAAUAUGAGAAACUAAGUUAUAUGUUUAGUUAUAUUUUUACUGAUUUUUAUAGAGUAAAGAUAGAAAUAAAACUUAGUAAAAUCAGUAAAAAUAUUCUUAGACUAAAGUUAAGUAGUUUAAGUUGUGUGCAAGUGGUAGGAGAGCGUUCUAUUUGCGUCGAAGGUAUACCGGUAAGGAGUGCUGGAGCGAAUAGAAGUGAGCAUGCAGGCAUGAGUAGCGAUAAUUAAUGUGAGAAUCAUUAACGCCGUAAACCCAAGGUUUCCUACGCGAUGCUCGUCAUCGUAGGGUUAGUCGGGUCCUAAGUCGAGUCCGAAAGGGGUAGACGAUGGCAAAUUGGUUAAUAUUCCAAUACCAACAUUAGUGUGCGAUGGAAGGACGCUUAGGGCUAAGGGGGCUAGCGGAUGGAAGUGCUAGUCUAAGGUCGUAGGAGGUUAUACAGGCAAAUCCGUAUAACAAUACUCCGAGAACUGAAAGGCUUUUUGAAGUCUUCGGAUGGAUAGAAGAACCCCUGAUGCCGUCGAGCCAAGAAAAGUUUCUAAGUUUAGCUAAUGUUGCCCGUACCGUAAACCGACACAGGUGGGUGGGAUGAGUAUUCUAAGGCGCGUGGAAGAACUCUCUUUAAGGAACUCUGCAAAAUAGCACCGUAUCUUCGGUAUAAGGUGUGGUUCGCUUCGUAUUAGGAUUUACUCCGAAAGCGAAGAAACUUACAACAAAGAGUCCCUCCCGACUGUUUACCAAAAACACAGCACUCUGCUAACUCGUAAGAGGAUGUAUAGGGUGUGACGCCUGCCCGGUGCUCGAAGGUUAAUUGAUGGGGUUAGCAUUAGCGAAGCUCUUGAUCGAAGCCCGAGUAAACGGCGGCCGUAACUAUAACGGUCCUAAGGUAGCGAAAUUCCUUGUCGGUUAAAUACCGACCUGCAUGAAUGGCGUAACGAGAUGGGAGCUGUCUCAAAGAGGGAUCCAGUGAAAUUGUAGUGGAGGUGAAAAUUCCUCCUACCCGCGGCAAGACGGAGAGACCCCGUGGACCUUUACUACAGCUUGACACUGCUAUUUGGAUAAGAAUGUGCAGGAUAGGUGGGAGGCUUUGAGUAUAUGACGCCAGUUGUAUAUGAGCCAUUGUUGAGAUACCACUCUUUCUUAUUUGGGUAGCUAACCAGCUUGAGUUAUCCUCAAGUGGGACAAUGUCUGGUGGGUAGUUUGACUGGGGCGGUCGCCUCCCAAAUAAUAACGGAGGCUUACAAAGGUUGGCUCAGAACGGUUGGAAAUCGUUCGUAGAGUAUAAAGGUAUAAGCCAGCUUAACUGCAAGACAUACAAGUCAAGCAGAGACGAAAGUCGGUCUUAGUGAUCCGGUGGUUCUGUGUGGAAGGGCCAUCGCUCAAAGGAUAAAAGGUACCCCGGGGAUAACAGGCUGAUCUCCCCCAAGAGCUCACAUCGACGGGGAGGUUUGGCACCUCGAUGUCGGCUCAUCGCAUCCUGGGGCUGGAGCAGGUCCCAAGGGUAUGGCUGUUCGCCAUUUAAAGCGGUACGCGAGCUGGGUUCAGAACGUCGUGAGACAGUUCGGUCCCUAUCUGCCGUGGGCGUAAGAAGAUUGAAGAGAUUUGACCCUAGUACGAGAGGACCGGGUUGAACAAACCACUGGUGUAGCUGUUGUUCUGCCAAGAGCAUCGCAGCGUAGCUAAGUUUGGAAAGGAUAAACGCUGAAAGCAUCUAAGCGUGAAGCCAACUCUAAGAUGAAUCUUCUCUAAGCUCUCUAGAAGACUACUAGUUUGAUAGGCUGGGUGUGUAAUGGAUGAAAGUCCUUUAGCUGACCAGUACUAAUAGAGCGUUUGGCUUAUCU
rnacentral:rRNA from 1 species